AAGAUGCUAGUAAAAUAAAAAUUAUGCUGCCUUGUCGAGGCAGGGUUGUGAGUUAGUGACUCACGCAUCUUG
rnacentral:tRNA from 1 species